GACGAACGCUGGCGGCGUGCCUAAUACAUGCAAGUCGAGCGGACCUCUUCGGAGGUCAGCGGCGGACGGGUGAGUAACACGUGGGCAACCUGCCUGUAAGACUGGGAUAACUUCGGGAAACCGGAGCUAAUACCGGAUAAUCCUUUCUGGCUCAUGUCGGGAAGCUGAAAGACGGUUUCGGCUGUCACUUCCAGAUGGGCCCGCGGCGCAUUAGCUAGUUGGUGGGGGAAUGGCCCACCAAGGCGACGAUGCGUAGCCGACCUGAGAGGGUGAUCGGCCACACUGGGACUGAGACACGGCCCAGACUCCUACGGGAGGCAGCAGUAGGGAAUCUUCCGCAAUGGACGAAAGUCUGACGGAGCAACGCCGCGUGAGCGAAGAAGGCCUUCGGGUCGUAAAGCUCUGUUGUCAGGGAAGAACAAGUAUCGGAGUAACUGCCGGUACCUUGACGGUACCUGACCAGAAAGCCACGGCUAACUACGUGCCAGCAGCCGCCGUAACAC
rnacentral:rRNA from 1 species